rnacentral:rRNA from 1 species
CGCACAGUAAACGAUGUUCACCAGGUGGCGGGGGGUCGACCCUCGGUACCGUAGCCAACGCAUUAAGUGAACCGCCUGGGGAGUAUGCUCGCAAGGGUGAAACUCAAAGGAAUUGACGGGGGCCCGCACAAGCGGUGGAGCAUGUGGUUUAAUUCGAUGAUACGCGAGAAACCUUACCAGGGCUUGACAUGUGCAGGAAUGGUGCCGAAAGGCACAGGCCGCUUGCGGCCUGCACACAGGUGC